rnacentral:tRNA from 1 species
CAAAACGUAGCUUAAUUACAAAGCAUCCGGCUUACACCCAGAAAAUAUCGCCUAGCGAUCGUUUUGA